GAAAAGCGAGCCAGGAAAUGGCAGGGCGAGGGUCGUGACCUGCAAGUCUUUCCGAGCCUGUGUUUACGACAUUCCCUACAGAUGGUGCACACGCUCAGUUUUUGGGUGGAACACCCCCCGGACACGACAAGAUCAUCGGGACUCUGGGGAACAUGAUAUCACGGAGGCCUAAAGUCUUCUCAGCUUCAGUUUCCACGACCCCUCGGAAGCAGCCUUGCCGUAGUAAAACCAUAUGGAGUGGACACAGCCCACUCCACAGCCAGCAGGGGAAGUGGCCGGUCCAAAGCCAGAAGUCCAGCCUUCUCUACGAACCGGUCCAGAAAAUGACUCCCAGUCUAUCAUUGGUCCAGCGUCCCUUUGGCCCACCCAUAAGUGCUCUUCUGGGUUUUCA
rnacentral:lncRNA from 1 species